CCUGCAUGCUGGAUGGCUGUCCUCCCACCUCAGACUGGAACCUGUGUCUGGACAUGUCAGCUACCAGGAGUCCCUAUCCUUGACAAAAAUUUUAUGCCCUUGAUGAUUUUUGUCAGCUAGGAUGACCUCCUGGAGGGCAUCACUUCAGUGACAAGAGUGAGGAAGGAGUACAGCAGAUCCCUCUCCUCUAAAUGGAUACAGAGCACUUAAUGGCAUCCUCCGAUUUCUGCCAAUGAUGGUUACGGAGCUCCAUCUGAACUAGAAAAUCCAUCUUUCUGAAUUCUUCCCUCAAACCACAUGUUCCUGGAGACAGAGUCAUCUCUCCAGACUUGGGAUGUAACAGGUUGGCUGCUUGAAAAAAACACGUUUUUUACCAUCCGCUAGGACUUCUGUGAGAUGCCAUAACCACUGGACUGUUCCUCAAAGCAGAACUGGUGGAUAAGUAUUCUGAUGGGUCAAGCCAGGGAGCAAGGCACCCCCCCCACACACACCUCUCUGAUGCUGUGAUUCAUUUGACAGCUUAUUUAAAAAAUCUAGAGAAAAGAGUUCUGUCCCAUCAGCUUCAGAAGUAGAUGUUUAACAUGGUAGAGAACAAGUCGAGCCUGAGUUACCCAAGACAACCAAUUCCUUUUGCAGAAAGAGUGUCUUCUGUCAUCAAAAAGAGCCAUCUGGAAGAGCCUUGGCCCUCUGCCAAGAACAACCCUUUAACAACUGCUUGUCGUGCACUGUAAGUAAUAACGUUCAUAAUGGCACAACCUGGAGUGUUGGUAAAGGUCCUACUGGAGGAGCAACGUAUUCCUCCUCCCUCAGUAACCGCAAAAGGAUGUUCUUCUUAUUCUUUGGCCAGUUAUAAAUGUGAGUGUUCUGCAGCCAGGUAGGCACGUGUUCCUGAAAAACAAAUGGAAAAAAAGCAAAAUCCCAUAAAUCCUCCUGAAUCUGUACCAGAACCUUGCAGAUUCCAUCAGACUCUGCCAAGCAAGAUUUCAUUUUGUCUGUUCUAGGCACUUCCCGUAACAACAAGAAAUUUUAAUUUGGCUUCAGAAUUGUAUUUGGGUUCCUAAAUAAAUGAACUUCGUGUGAUCUCA